UAGCAACUUUUAAGCCAUAGAAAAGUAUCGAUAAUUUUUUUUUGAAAAUAUGUGUUUUUUUGGGAAUUAUCACAUUGCCUGUAUAAAUUUUACCUUCAAAAAAUUUCAAAAUUUAGCAAACUGUGGAUUUUGGGAAAUUGCUUUUUUUUGCGGAAAAAAACAAACAUUUUUUUCUGAAUAGUUCUCAUCAAUAUUUACAACUUUGCCGAAAACACCAAACCCAAUCAGAAAAUUCUUCCGAAAGACACAGAUUUUCGGAAAUUUACGUACCAAAAAAGUUUGAGCCAAUAACAAAAAUACAUUACAAAAUAAAAUGCACAAAAUCGGCCGAUUUAGUAGAGAAUUGCUCAUUUGGAGCUCACGCACACAAACUUGAAGUGUGUAGCAACGUAGCUAGGCUGACAACGACGAUCUGUUGGUCUAAAAUACAUUCAAUCGUUCUUUUAACAUUUAACAGUCAAACAAUCUUUUAAAAUUAUUAUUUUGACUUUAAUGCAAUAUUUUUCGACAGCAUAUUUUGUAUGGAUCGAAAACUAUUUUGCAAGCUUUGCAAACUGUCAAACACGAAAAAGUGCGAGUUUGUUUGUUUGUUAUGUCAGCCAACAUUCGCAGGGCUUUGACAGCUCGAGCUCGCACGGUUACUAAAAAUCGCACUUUUGGGAGUUCAGAAAUCGCACUUUUGACAGUUCGCUUAAACGAACUGAAAAAAGUGUGAUUUCGCGAACUCGAAAAAUGGUAAAAAUCGCCAAAAAAAGAGUUCAGUUAAGCGAACUCCUAAAAGUGCGAUUUUGGACUUAGCGAAAUUUUUUAAAUUCGUUGAAACGUUUCGUCUUGAAUAUUUAUUGUUAGUUUGUUUUUGCGCUCCGGAGCUUCGGGAUGAUUUUCGGGUAAGUAAAACGGACGGAAUACUUCACAAGAUUUUGCAAAAGGAAUCUGUCCACCGGUGGACGGAUUGCCUGUCAAUGUUUGGCGAGAAGGUGGACGGAACACUGGACAAAGUUUUGCAAGAGAAAUCCGUCCACCGGAGGACGGAUUGCCUGCCAUUUUUUGGCGAAAAGGUUCUGUCCUCCGAUGGACGGAUUACUGGAAAAAAAAUGCAAGAGGAAUCCAUCCGCCGGGGAAGGAUUGCCUGCCAAAGUUGACGAGAAGAUUCGGUCCACCGGUGGACGUAAUAUUGGAAAGUGUUUUGCAAGAGGAAUCUGUCCGCCGGUGGACGGAUUGCCUGCCAAUGAUUGGCGAGAAGGUGGACGGAAUACUGGACAAAGUUUUGCAAGAGGAAUCUGUCCGCCGGUGGACGGAUUGCCUGCCAAUGUUGACUGGAAAGUUUGGUCCACGGGUGGACGGAAUACUUCACAAGAUUUUGCAAAAGGAAUCUGUCCACCGGUGGACGGAUUGGCUGUCAAUUUUGGCGAAAAGGUUCGGUCCACCGGUGGACAGAUUACUGGACAAGGUUUUGCAAGAGGAAUCCGUCCACUGGUGGACGGAUUGCCUGCCAAUGGUUGAGAAGGUGGACGAAACACUGGACAAAGUUUCGCAAGAGGAAUCCGUCCACCGGAGAACGGAUUGCCUGCCAAUUUUUGGCGAAAAGGUUCUGUCCUCCGGUAGACGGAUUAAUGGACAAUGUUUUGCAAGAGGAAUCCGUCCACCAGUGGACGGAUUGCAUGCCAAUGUUGGUGAAAUGGUUCGGACCACCGGUGGACGGAUUACUGGACAAGGUUUGCAAGAGGAAUCCGUCCGCCGGAGCACAACAAUGUUUUGCAAGAGUAAUCUUGGUUAUGUUUGCAAGAGGAACUUUUAUUCUGACGGAUGAUUUUUUUUUCGUAAUUUUUGCAGAUGGAACCGGUCUACCUACACCAAAAUGGACACCGCGCCACCGUCAGGUUUCCGGUCUGUAAUUACCCCCUCUUGGUGAAUGCCAGCCUACGCCGAGAUGCUGGUAUCGCUGAGUCCGCCGGUGCAAAACUACUUGCUAACCGACUACAUCGCCAAACGGUCGACCCACUGCGGCCAGCGUCCCUGCAGCUGACCCCGCCGCCGCGGCGCCGUCAACCGACGCCCUUCAAUCCGUUGCAAAAAUGCCCGCCUCGCCGCGGCGAUAAUUCCUGGUGGCGCGUCCGGAAGAUCUGAGAAGGGCCUUUCAGAGAUUCGCGCUUUCUUCGACAAAAACCGCGCAAGUCAAGUACGACCAGCAGGCCGCGAAACACGAGGAGUUUGUGGAACUUUAUCCGGGACACUAGCGUGACGGACCGGUUCGAGGAGUUUCCGAUGCUGCGAGAUAAGAUCCUGCGGACAACAAGUUGAUCUCCAGCAACUUUUGCGAUGUUGACCACACGAUGACGAGGGAACGGAUGAGAAGAAUCAGGACGUGACCACUUCAACUUUAAACGUGAUGGACACGGACCACUAACUGAUGCGUUCGUCGCUGAUUCGUCACCAGUCGUUCUUCCCUGGUUCUUCCGGUAGUUCGACUCGAAGGUGUCAAAGAUAACUCAGCUUGGCAACUAGUAACGUGCUCCAGACGUAUGUAGCCCAAACGGCGGGUUCGGUCGUUGUCAGCGACACCGGCCGGAGGCGCAUUUAAUUGAGAACACGGUUCCGGCAUCCCCGGGAAGGCCGAGACACGCCAAAGAAAUCCGUCCUCCGGAGGAUCAGUUUCUCAUGCCAACAUGUUUGGAGGUGGAAUCUGGCCAAAGUUGAGAACAGUUUUGGUCGGUCUUGAGCCUGUACCCUCGUCGAACACGAAGUUGGUCGCUCUAAAUCCGCUACGACCUGUUCUAGGCUGUAUUAACUGAUCUUUAACUUGCUUUAUUCUUCUUUUAGGCGAUCCACGACCUGACGGCCUUAACCCGGUACGCUCCUUGAAAUCAUUUGCCAUCGGCGAACUCGGACUUGGUCGCCUUCAACCCGGUAUGACCUAUUCUGUUCUGUAUGAAUUAAUCUAGAACUUGUUUUGUGGUUCUUCUAGGCGAUCCACGAUCUGCGAUAGAUUCCGCCAACAUCCUGUGAUAGACCUCGUGCGCGAUCAAUCCUGACCCGGUACGUCAAAUUCCAUCACAAUCUGCGGUAGAUCUCGUGCGCAGUCGGAUAAGAUGAUGUCCGGGGACGGCGAUGUCAUCAACGAUGGCGCAACCAUUUUGAAGCUGAUAGAUGUAGAUCACGAGAUCGGCAAGCUGAUGGUGCAGCUGUCGCAGUCACAAGACAGCGAGAUCGGAGACCGGGGAAUUCAUCCGAUUCGUAUUGCCGAUGGGUUGAGCUGGCGGCGCAGUGCUCGAUCAAACACAUGGACUCGAUCGCAAGUCCAUUUCCGAUUUCGCUAGACAACAAAGAACCGCUGAUCCAUUUGGCGAUGACGGCUCGUAAGAUCGUGAACAAGUGCCACGAUGGCGACGACGAUGGCGGAGAUUGCCGUGGAUGCGGUGCUGACCGUGGCGGAUUUGGUAAAGCGAUGACCAUUAGACCGGAACUCGCCUGUUGUCGUCAUCGUGCUUCCGGCCUUUUUCACCGUUCCCAAAAUUCUCAGCGGAGACAAGCAAUCCUAUCCGGAGCAGUAUUGAAAUUAGGCGACUUACAUUAACUCCACAAUCCAUACCUUUUGUAAUAAAUUUCCGAAUUUUGAGUAUAUUUUAUCAAUAAAUAAGCACUGCGUUGUUCAUUUCUUUUAAACAUUAAUUGUUAUUAUUUCAAUCUCGAAAGAGAAACCACAAAGCGCCCAAAGAUAGGCAACCUCUAAACCUGUGAAAUAUUUCCGCAUGCUCGAACUCGGCAAAUCAUGAAAAUCAUGAUUUUGCCAGUUCGACCCACUUUACCAAAAAAAGUGUUAUCCGAGUUGAACUUCAAAUAUCAUGAUAAUUACCAUUUUUUUGGUUUUAUUUGGUAAGCGUGCGGUCAUUGAUUGCAUCAAGAAACUGUGACGAGAAGUUCGUCAUUUUUGGGUUAAAUUAUAUUUUUUUCACUGGGCUUAGAAAGCCUUAUAUCUGCUGCUUGAGUCAAAAAUGGGAGCACAUUUUUUUUUCUGCAAAAAUUCUUACUUUUUCCGUUAAUUUUAUUUUUAUUAUUUUUAACUUUUUUAUUACUGAUGUUUAAAAGUUCAUGAAAAAACUAGUCUUUCUACCGAAAAUAUCGCCUGCGAGUGUAAACAAAAAGCAAUCUAAAGCAUUCCAAACUAAUCCAAGACAUACAUAUCAAAGUUUAUACAAGUAGCCAAGAUUAAUCCCACUUUUAAAACUUAAGUACAAUAGAGAGUAUAAAUGAAACUUAGCAUAACGAAAAAUAUUUAACCUAGCAAUUAUACGAACCUUUUUUGUCUCUUUUUGUAAAUUUAUUUAAGCGGCUCCGCGGAGGGCCCUCUAUAGCGUUUAAAAUGAGUUCCACUCUAGUUUGUAUGAAAGAAGCUUAAAGCAUCGAUGAAGAUCAAGAACUACACACACACUCGAUAAGAUAUUUGCUCAAUUUCUUGACUAACAUGUGACUGCUGUAAAUACAACUAUACUUUAAAUAUAGCCAAUGCAAACCAGCAGCAGUCGACCCUGCUUAGCCAAGCGCCGUGUAACACGAACUUAGUUAAUAAUGUUGUGCUUAGUUUGUUAAGGAAAAAAACCUUUAAACUCUGUUAAGUUUAAAAAAUGACCCAUUAUCAUAUUUACCUGUUUGUUUUAAGUUAAAAUUGUUUAAUUUUAUGUGCAAAUGUUUAACAACAACAAAUAUCACGACACGUCUUCCAAAAGCAAGCAAUCAAAAAUUAAGAACAACAACAAAAGUUCAAUGCGAUUUCGAGAAAUGCCUUAAUUUAUAAAAUUCAUUAAGUUUAGUACCAAGCAACAAUCAUGCGCCCCCCUAACGUAGUAAAUUAUCCUUGAGAAGAAACUAAAAAAGAACGUAUAUUUUACCCCUUAAGUUUACGUAACGUUACAAACGCUCAAGAACAAUCGCAAUCACGUGUGCAAAUUUUUAGGAAGAAGAAGAAAAUCUCGAAUCGAAUCGGUGCUGUUCCGUUUUCGUUUGCGAACAUUAUUUGCUCAACUUAGAAAAAGAGAAGAAAAAAAAAAUAACCAACUAACUAAAAACUAAGGAUUUCAAAGCAAUACAACCAAGAGGAACGUCGUUAAAAAGCAAGCGGCAAAAAAAAACAGCAAAGAAACAGGUGUGCCUGAUGAUUGUGAACAAAAUUUGAGUAGAGAGAGAAAGUGAGAGCAAAAAUAGCAAUGUUGACUUGUUUAACAGUUUUGUUGUACUUUUUAGGACAUGUUGAAGGAUGUUGUUUGUAAGAGGAUUUAUAUUAUAUUAUGUGUAUAAACGAUAUUGAAAACGCAACGGGGAAGAAGCGUGCGACAAGUGAAGUGAAAGAUUUGAAAGUUGGAAUCGAUGUGCUGUGCAAUAGAAUGGCCCAAUUAAAACCGUUAUUCACGAAAUAAAUGCAAUUUUUAUGUUAGUGAACAGG